UACAGAGGGUGCAAACGUUGCUCGGAAUCAUUGGGCGUAAAGCGCACGUAGGCGGCCCAGCAAGUGGGGAGUGAAAGCCCUCGGCUUAACCGAGGAAGUGCUUUCCAAACUACUGGGCUUGAAUACUGGAGAGGGUCGCGGAAUUCCAGGUGUAGCGGUGAAAUGCGUAGAUAUCUGGAGGAACACCGGUGGCGAAGGCGGCAUCCUGGACCGACACUGACGCUGAGGAGCGAAAGCCAGGGGAGCAAACGGG
rnacentral:rRNA from 1 species